GACGAACGCUGGCGGCGUGCUUAACACAUGCAAGUCGAACGAAGAGCGACGGCCGCUUGCUUCUAUCAAUCUUAGUGGCGAACGGGUUAGUAACGCGAAAUCCACCUGCCCUUAAGAGGGGCACCACAGUUGGAAACGACUGCUAAUACCGCAUACGAUCUAACCUCGGCAUCGAGGAUAGAUGAAAGGUGGCCUCUACAUGUAAGCUAUCACUGAAGGAGGUGAUUGCGUCUGAUUAGCUAGUUGGAGGGGUAACGGCCCACCAAGGCGAUGAUCAGUAGCCUGUCUGAGAGGAUGAACGGCCACAUUGGGAAUGAGACACGGCCCAGACUCCUACGGGAGGCAGCAGUCGGGAAUCUUCCGCAAUAGACGAAAGUCUGACGGAGCAACGCCGCGUGAGAGAUGACGGCCGUCGGGUUGUAAAGCGCUGUUAAUCGGGACGAAAGGCCUUCUUGCGAAUAGUGAGAAGGAUUGACGGUACCGGAAGAGAAAGCCACGGCUAACUACGUG
rnacentral:rRNA from 1 species